rnacentral:rRNA from 1 species
AGUAUGACAGAACUGUGGGGACACGUAAGGAGAGCGGGAGCCGGGAAUGGAAAGCCCGGUACAAGCGAGGUACCAGUACGGUAGGAAAAUCCGCCGUGCAAUGGGAAGACGUGAUGUGGAGCGAAAUUUAGUGGCGAAGCCCGUGAGCCAUGCGUCAAGAAAAGCCGCUAUUGUUUAUACUGUACCCGUACCGUAAACCGACACAGGUGGAUGAGGAGAGAAUCCUAAGGCCGGCGGAAGAAGUAUCGCCAAGGAACUCGGCAAAAUGGCCCCGUAACUUAGGGAGAAGGGGUGCCUGCGAGAGCAGGCCGCAGAGAAUAGGCUCAAGCAACUGUUUAGCAAAAACACAGGUCUAUGCGAAACCGAAAGGUGAGGUAUAUGGGCUGACGCCUGCCCGGUGCUGGAAGGUUAAGAGGAGAGGUUAGCGGUAACGCGAAGCUUUGAAUUUAAGCCCCAGUAAACGGCGGCCGUAACGAUAACGGUCCUAAGGUAGCGAAAUUCCUUGUCGGGUAAGUUCCGACCCGCACGAAAGGCGUAAUGAUUUGAGCGCUGUCUCGGCAAUACAUCCGGUGAAAUUGAAGUGCCAGUGAAGAUGCUGGCCACCCGCGCCAGGACGGAAAGACCCCAUGGAGCUUUACUCCAGUUUGGCACUGGGGUCCGGUGUUGCGUGUACAGGAUAGGUGGGAGGCUGAGAAACGGUAACGUCAGUUGCCGCGGAGCCGCUGUUGGGAUACCACCCUUGUGAUAUUGGGCUUCUAACCAGCCGCCGUGAUCCGGCGGUGGGACAAUGCCAGGCGGGGAGUUUGACUGGGGCGGUCGCCUCCGAAAGGGUAUCGGAGGCGCCCAAAGGUUCCCUCAGAAUGGACGGAAACCAUUCGAAGAGUGCAAAGGCAGAAGGGAGCUUGACUGCGACACCGACGGGUGGAGCAGGUACGAAAGUAGGGCUUAGUGAUCCGGUGGUAUUAAGUGGGAAUGCCAUCGCUCAACGGAUAAAAGCUACCCUGGGAUAACAGGCUUAUCACUCCCAAGAGUUCACAUCGACGGAGUGGUUUGGCACCUUGAUGUCGGCUCAUCGCAUCCUGGGGCUGUAGUAGGUCCCAAGGGUUGGGCUGUUCGCCCAUUAAAGCGGUACGCGAGCUGGGUUCAGAACGUCGUGAGACAGUUCGGUCCCUAUCCGGCGUGGGCGUAGGAUAUCUGAGAGGAGCUGUCCUUAGUACGAGAGGACCGGGAUGGACGGACCGCUGGUGGACCGGUUGGCUUGCCAAAGCCAUGGCCGGGUAGCCAAGUCCGGAAGGGAUAAACGCUGAAGGCAUCUAAGCGUGAAGCCCCCCUCAAGAUGAGAUAUCCCAUUCUUAUGAAGUAAACCCCCUUGAAGACGACGAGGUAGAUAGGGCAGGGGUGGAAGUGUGGCAACACAUGGAGCUGACUGUUACUAAUCGGGUGAGGGCUUGACC